GCUCGGGUCCUCACCGCAGACCCAGAUUUCCAUGAUCAGAUCUUACUUCACACUCUGCAGGCAGAACAACUGUGUCUUUAGUGCUUUUCCUCCAACCCCACAACAUGAUUAUGUGAAUUUGUUCACAUGAUAAAGGCUGUACCCUCUGUUGGCUCUUUCAAAUCUGCUGCAGCCACAGGACAUUUGCAUAGUGUCCCUAGGGAGGACCUUCCCUUGCAAGUCUGAGAUAAAAGGUCACCUCUAAAAUGGUCUUGACUUAUGAGAGCUCAUCAGUUCAACUUCACAAAAUGAAAUUCCCUGCUCAGCUCUUGGGGCUCUUCAUGCUCUGGAUCCCAGGAUCCAGUGGAGAUAUUGUGAUGACACAGAGCCCUCUGUCCCUGCCCAUCACCCCUGGACAGCCGGCCUCCAUCUCCUGCAGGGCCAGUCAGAGCCUCGUGCACAGUAAUGGAAACACCUAUUUAAACUGGUACCAGCAGAAGCCAGGCCAGUCUCCACGGCUCCUCAUCUAUUAUGCUUCCAAUCGGGCCUCUGGGGUCCCUGAUAGGUUCAGUGGCAGCGGGUCAGGGACAGAUUUCACCCUGAGAAUCAGCAGGGUGGAGGCUGAGGACGUCAGGGUUUAUUACUGCCAGCAAGCUCUACAAACUCCUCCCACGGUGAUUAAACAUAGAACAAAAACCUGCCUGGCUGGGGAUUUCAACUGCCCCAAAGUGUUGCUUGUCUGGGUGGCCCACAGCAGGUUGUCGGAGUGUGUGUAAGCGGAAGAUGUUGGACACCCCAGGGAACUAGGUCGCGGCUGAGGGCCCCGCACCACGAGGACUUUGGCUCCCCUCGGGCACCAUGUGCUAAGGCCCCAUCAGGUGCCACAGCCUUAGGAUGGCAGAAGCGGUCCUGGGAUGGGUCUGUGGUCUUACGUUUCUUUUUUGGGUGUGUUGUUAGGGAUGGAAGUAGGCCUCCCAGGCCGGGGAUUUUUGGCUUCGGGUAGCCCCGCCCCCCACUGUUUUCCAGGAUGGCGAAAGUGUUUAUACUCCAUCACCUACGUGUACAUACCAGUUGCUAUAAGUGCUUUGCAAUCCUUCUUAUAUCAGACAUUUAUUGUCUCCAUGCUGGUAGAUCCUGAAAGGGUAUUGUGCUAAAAAUGUA